GCGAGUGAAGCGGGAAGAGCUCAAAUUUGAAAUCUGGCACUUUCAGUGUCCGAGUUGUAAUCUCGAGAAGUGUUUUCCGCGCCGGACCGCAUAUAAGUCUGUUGGAAUACAGCGUCAUAGUGGUGAGAACCCCGUACGUGAUGCGGACGCCCGGUGCUUUGUGAUACACUUUCGAAGAGUCGAGUUGUUUGGGAAUGCAGCUCAAAAUGGGAGGUAAAUUCCUUCUAAAGCUAAAUAUUGGCGAGAGACCGAUAGCGAACAAGUACCGUGAGGGAAAGAUGAAAAGCACUUUGGAAAGAGAGUUAACAGUACGUGAAAUUGUUGGAAGGGAAACGCUUGAAGUCAGACUUGCUUGCCGGGCAACCGGUUUGCAGGCCAGCAUCAGUUUUCGGGGGUGGAAAAGCGCGGUUUGAAGGUAGCAGUCUCGGCUGUGUUAUAGCUUUCCGCUGGAUUCACCCUUGGGGACUGAGGAACGCAGCACGCUUUUUGCAGGGUCUUCGGGCUCAUCGUGCUUAGGAUGCUGGUUUAAUGGCUUUAAACGACCCG
rnacentral:rRNA from 1 species